AACCUAGCACACCUGCGGUGUGUACCUGCGGAAGGAUCAUUACUGAGUUAGGGUCUUUUUUGGCCCGACCUCCAACCCUUUGUUUAUUAAACCAUGUUGCUUUGGCGGGCCUGCCUUUCGGGGCUGCCGGGGGCAUCACUGCCCCUGACUCGUGCCUGCCAGGAGCCUUCUUAAAUUCAGUGUUCAAUGGUGCUGUCUGAGUCCCGGUAUCAAUAUCAUAAAACUUUCAGCAAUGGAUCU
rnacentral:misc_RNA from 1 species